UUUUUCGGGGCAGGGUGAAAGUCCCUACUGGCGGUAAAGUCCGCGACCCGCUUCGGCGGCUGACCCGGUGCAACUCCGGGACCAACAGUUAAAGUCUGGAUGGAAGAAAA
rnacentral:ncRNA from 1 species